rnacentral:rRNA from 1 species
CGGGGGGGGUAAGCGUUGUUCGGAAUUACUGGGCGUAAAGGGCUCGUAGGCGGCCAACUAAGUCGGACGUGAAAUCCCUCAGCUUAACUGGGGAACUGCGUCCGAUACUGGAUGGCUUGGAUUUGGGAGAGGGAUGCGGAAUUCCAGGUGUAGCGGUGAAAUGCGUAGAUAUCUGGAGGAACACCGGUGGCGAAGGCGGCAUCCUGGACCAAUAUUGACGCUGAGGAGCGAAAGCCAGGGGAGCAAACGGGAUUAGAUACCCCGGUAGUCCUGGCCCUAAACGAUGAAUGCUUGGUGUGGCGGGUAUCGAUCCCUGCCGUGCCGAAGCUAACGCAUUAAGCAUUCCGCCUGGGGAGUACGGUCGCAAGGCUG